UUAAGUAGGAUCAUUGUUUCUGGGGCUGUUCAUAUCCCCAGACUUUUCACAGCCCUGGCAGAGGCUGACUCUGUAAUAAGUCUCACAUUACACAUGGAUUAGAUUUGUAGAAAUCCUGUAACUCAAUAGGUACCUGCCUAUUCUCUCCUGGCGUCAGGCUGCCUGCACUACUUUGCUCUGUAGACAUACCUGGCAUUCCACCCGUGCCUCCUCGCUGGCUAAGUGGGCUGGAGCCUGCCUACCAAAACAUUGGGGUAUUGUUGGGAAGCGGAGACCCCCUUGACAGACGAGCGAAGUGUGAAGUUCAUCAUCUCAUCCUGGAAGAUAAUGAAGACUCCUAGUGAUCUCAUGAAGAUGUGUAUGAUUCUAACAACCUACUAACAACUUUUAACAUUAAAUGUUAAUAAAGCCUAAAGGUCACAUUAA